rnacentral:lncRNA from 1 species
CUGCCCACCAUGGUGUUUUCGUGUCUGAUCUGCAGAGCACCGUGGGCUCCCGGAUCUUGCCCCUCUGCCGUGUCUAGUGAAGAUUAUGAUGCGACUUCUCCACAUAAUCGCCUCCUCUUUCAGAGCGCUGCACUUGGAUGACCAGAUCAGCCAUCCUGUGACCUCGCAGUGGGAGAGAGCGCACCUGGCUGAACAACUGCACGUUCAGACGAGGCACCUAGCGGCCAGAGGCCGCUAACUAGUACUGAGGGCCCUAACUAGUACUGAGUUACGCAGCCGUUUUAAAGCCUUCAUCUGUGGCAUUGUAGACACAGAUCAUCCAGCAUUGCUCUCAGCCUGUGGUCCUGAAUAUACUGAGUCACACGUGACCAGCCUGCUCUACUUGAUCUAAUUGACACUUCUUGGGAGACUGAGGCAGGAGGAUCACAAAUGUGAGGCACUUAGCGAGACCCAGCCUCAAAAUAAAAUGGGCUGCCGCUGUAGCUCCCUGGUGAAGCACUUGCCUGGCAUAGCGAGGCCCUGGGCCCGGCCCCAGCACUGAAAAGACAACAAGGGUGCGUGCCCUAGAUACGCCUGCGCUCACAGUUCCCAGCGAGCAGAAGCGCCUGGAGCCUUCCUGCGCCCCAGCGGGCUGCAGGCGGGGGCUGGAGGAGUGCAGUCUGUCUGACCCUCGGCAGCAGCCCUCGGACACCAGCAGUGGCCAGAGGCGAAGCCGGCCUUCCAGAAGAUUCCCUGGUUUCAGCAUUGCCCCCUGGUGGCAAGAAUCCAGGCCCAAAAGGAAAAUGCUUGGCACUGCGGAGUUUUGGAAGCCUCACUAGGCCCCUGUGAGAGCAAGCUGUCUCGGAGUCCUGCACCAGUCACAGCCCUGCAGCUGCUGUGUAAGCAGCAUUCCCCACAGCCUCAGCUAGUCUAGAGGGCUACCUCUGGGGUACUGGCUAUGUGCAGCACAGGCCCUGUUAAAAUAAAGACUUGCCUGGUGGUCCUGUAAAACUGCUUGUGAUGUAUUUGUUGGCUUGUGUGGGCUCCAAAAUUUCUGUAAAUCUACUGGGAUUCCUGUCCUGAGUAGGGUGGACACGUCGGUCAUCUCAAGAGAAGGAGCAAUGAGCACUUGGGGCUGUUAGCCCUGAAGAGCUGGAGACCAGCCGUCAAGGAGGAUCGGCAGCAGAGGCCGGACGCAGCAUACCCGGCCUGUGGUGUCCAGCACAGGGCUGCUAACAGAGGUGCACUUUGCCCGUUCAUGAUUUCUAUCUGAAUGGAGCAAAAGAACCCUGGCGACUGGCAACAAACCACG